rnacentral:misc_RNA from 1 species
GAAAUGCGAUAAGUAGUGUGAAUUGCAGAAUUCAGUGAAUCAUCGAAUCUUUGAACGCACAUUGCGCCCCUUGGUAUUCCAUGGGGCAUGCCUGUUCGAGCGUCAUCUACACCCUCAAGCUCUGCUUGGUGUUGGGCGUCUUUGUCCCGCCUCCGCGCGCGGACUCGCCCCAAAUUCAUUGGCAGCGGUCCUUGCCUCCUCUCGCGCAGCACAUUGCGCUUCUCGAGGUGUUGCGGCCCGCGUCCAGAAAGCAAUCGUUACCGUCUUUGACCUCGGAUCAGGUAGAGAUACGCGCUGAACUUAAGC